rnacentral:rRNA from 1 species
GACGAACGCUGGCGGCAUGCUUAACACAUGCAAGUCGAACGGAGCACCCCUGAACGAGGUUUCGGCCGAAGUGAAGGGAAUGCUUAGUGGCGGACGGGUGAGUAACGCGUGAGCAACCUGCCUUGAAGUGGGGGACAACAGUUGGAAACGACUGCUAAUACCGCAUAAUAUAUCUGAGUCGCAUGGCUUGGAUAUCAAAGAUUUAUCGCUUCGAGAUGGGCUCGCGUCUGAUUAGGUAGUUGGCGGGGUAACGGCCCACCAAGCCGACGAUCAGUAGCCGGACUGAGAGGUUGAACGGCCACAUUGGGACUGAGAUACGGCCCAG